GAGUUUGAUCCUGGCUCAGAUUGAACGCUGGCGGCAUGCUUUACACAUGCAAGUCGAACGGCAGCACGGGUGCUUGCACCUGGUGGCGAGUGGCGAACGGGUGAGUAAUGCAUCGGAACGUACCCAGUCGUGGGGGAUAACUAGUCGAAAGAUUAGCUAAUACCGCAUACGUCCUGAGGGAGAAGGCGGGGGACCGAAAGGCCUCGCGCGAUUGGAGCGGCCGAUGUCAGAUUAGGUAGUUGGUGGGGUAAAGGCCUACCAAGCCGACGAUCUGUAGCGGGUCUGAGAGGAUGAUCCGCCACACUGGGACUGAGACACGGCCCAGACUCCUACGGGAGGCAGCAGUGGGGAAUUUUGGACAAUGGGGGCAACCCUGAUCCAGCCAUGCCGCGUGCGGGAAGAAGGCCUUCGGGUUGUAAACCGCUUUCGGACGGAAAGAAAUCGCGCAGGCUAAUAUCCUGUGUGGAUGACGGUACCGUAAGAAGAAGCACCGGCUAACUCCGUGCCAGCAGCCGCGGUAAUACGGGGGGUGCAAGCGUUAUUCGGAAUUAUUGGGCGUAAAGGGCGCGUAGGCGGUUUUAUAAGUCAGAUGUGAAAUACCUGGGCUUAACCGAGGAAGUGCAUUUGAAACUAUGAGACUUGAGUAUGGGAGAGGGUAGUGGAAUUCCUGGUGUAGAGGUGAAAUUCGUAGAUAUCAGGGAGGAACACCUGUGGCGAAAGCGGCUACCUGGACCAAUACUGACGCUGAGGCGCGAAGGCGUGGGGAGCAAACAGGAUUAGAUACCCUGGUAGUCCACGCAGUAAACGGUGAUCACUAGGUGUAGCGGGUAUUGACCCCCUGCUGUGCCGCAGUUAACACAUUAAGUGAUCCCGCCUGGGGAGUACGAUCGCAAGGUUAAAACUCAAAGGAUUUGACGGGGGCCCGCACAAGCGGUGGAGCAUGUGGGUUUAAUUCGACGCAACGCGAAGAACUUUACCUGGGUUUGACAUGGCAGGAAGUUUCUAGAGAUGGAAUUCGUUGCUCGAAGAGAACCUGCACACAAGGUGCUUGCAUAUGGCUUGUUCGUCAGCUCGUGGUCGUGAGAUGUUUGGGGGUUUAAGUUUCCCGCAACGAGGCGCAAACCCUUGGUCAUUUAAUUUGCUUACAUUUCGUUUGAACACCUUCUAAUUGGAACCUGGCCGGUGACAAACCGAAGGAGGUGGGGGAUGAUACGCUCAAGCUCCUCUCUGGGCCCCCCUUUAUGGUGGGUGUCAG
rnacentral:rRNA from 1 species